rnacentral:rRNA from 1 species
GCUAACGCCGUGCCAGCAGCGGAGGUAACGCGGAGGGUGGCAGAGUUGUCCGGAAUCACUGGGGUUAAAGGGUGGGGAGGCGGGGAAUUAAGUCAGUGGUGAAAUCCUGUGGCGUAACGAUAGAACUGGCAUUGAGACUGAUUUGCUUGAAUUGGGUUGAGGUUAGCGGAAUGUGACAUGUAGCGGUGAAAGGCAUAGAUAUGUCAUGGAACACCAAUUGCGAAGGCAGCUAACUGGGCCUUGAUUGUCGCUGAGGCACGAAAGCGUGGGUAGCGAACAGGAUUAGAUCCCCUGGUAGUC